AACGAACGCUGGCGGCAUGCCUAACACAUGCAAGUCGAACGAGACCUUCGGGUCUAGUGGCGCACGGGUGCGUAACGCGUGGGAACCUGCCCUUAGGUUCGGAAUAACUCCCCGAAAGGGGUGCUAAUACCGGAUAAUGUCUUCGGACCAAAGAUUUAUCGCCUUUGGAUGGGCCCGCGUUGGAUUAGCUAGUUGGUAGGGUAAAAGCCUACCAAGGCGACGAUCCAUAGCUGGUCUGUGAGGAUGAUCAGCCACACUGGGACUGAGACACGGCCCAGACUCCUACGGGAGGCAGCAGUGGGGAAUAUUGGACAAUGGGCGAAAGCCUGAUCCAGCAAUGCCGCGUGAGUGAUGAAGGCCUUAGGGUUGUAAAGCUCUUUUAGACGGGAUGAUAAUGACAGUACCGGGAGAAUAAGCACCGGCUAACUCCGUG
rnacentral:rRNA from 1 species